GGGAUCAGCUGAGGCCUCUGUUGCCGCUGCCUCACCGUUCAACUUCUCUCUUUCCUCAAUCUUGCUUCUCUCAUUGCCUUACUGGUGUUUGUCCUGAGAGCAUGCCCUCCACAAAUGUAACAUUUCUCAGAGUGCUAUUAUCAGGAUUUAUGAGAAAGUUGAGGUGCAGAGAGGUCAAGGAACUUGUUGCAGCUCACUGAACUGUGGCUGGUCUACUUGUGGGUACAAAGGCCCAGACCCAUUGUUUCAACUGGAGACCUGUGAAGGGCGAUCCCAGCCUCAGAACCUCGCAUGGGAUGGACUCAGUACUCUGCUGCAACUGCAUUUCAGUUUAACUUCUCCCUUUACCCAGUCCUAACUUCCUUAUUCCCUAAAAAAUGUUUCUGGGAGUGCUCCUCAGUAAACUUCAUGCAUAAACACUUCAGAGGCUCAGAGUAUGUUUCCUGGAGAAUUCCAUCUGUGGCGUUUCCUCUUCAUGCCUACUGCCACCAUCCAGGUUUAGGCCCCCAUUACCGCUUACCUGGAAUAUUGCAAAAGCUUUAUCACUAUUCUCUUUGCUCACUGGCUCUCCUAUAAUCAGUCUACACAACAGCAGACUAAUUUUUUUUAUCCCAGAUCAUAGCUCUUAUGCUGUUUUCCUGCUCAAAAACUUUGGUGGCCCCCCAGUCUAUUUAAUUAGGUUCUUACUCCUUAUUGUGAUUUUCAAGACCCUUCCCAAUUUAGCCCCCACUAUUUUCAGCUCUCAUCUUCUACUCCAGUAUAAGUAUGCUCCGCUCCAUUUAAACUAGAACAUUUGCAAUCCUCCAAAUCUACUGUAAAAAUUCAUUUUUCCUAUAUUUGUUCCAAAUGUUCUCUUCUAUUAUCUUCUUUAUAAAAUUUGAACCAUAUUUCAAGGUCCAUUCUCCUUUUUCUUUUUCAUUUUUUUUCUAGAUGGAGUCUCGCACUGUCGCCCAGGCUAGAGUGCAGUGGCGCGAUCUCGGCUUACUGCAACCUCCGCCUCCUGGGUUCAAGCGAUUCUCCUGCCUCAGCCUUCCGAGUAGCUGGGAUUACAGGUGCCCCCCACCACACCCAGCUAAUUUUUGUAUUUUUAGUAGAGACGGGAUUUCACUGUAUUGGCCAGGCUGGUCUCAAACUCCUAACCUUGUGAUCUACCCACCUCGGCCUCCCAAAGUGCUGGGAUUACAGGCGUGAGCCACUGCUCCUGGCCAGGCUUAAGGUCCAUUGUGAGAGCAAUAUUCAUUCUUGGCAUACCUGUAUCAAUGUAUCUUAUGUACCCCAUAAAUAUAUAUCCCUACUAUGUGACCAAAAAAAUUAAAAAUAAAAUAAAAAUUUAAAACCC
ensembl:lncRNA novel transcript